rnacentral:rRNA from 1 species
UACGUAGGGUGCAGGCGUUAAUCGGAAUUACUGGGCGUAAAGCGUGCGCAGGCGGUUUCUUAAGUCAGAUGUGAAAGCCCCGGGCUUAACCUGGGAACUGCGUUUGAAACUGGGAGACUAGAGUGUGGCAGAGGGGGGUGGAAUUCCACGUGUAGCAGUGAAAUGCGUAGAUAUGUGGAGGAACACCGAUGGCGAAGGCAGCCCCCUGGGUUAACACUGACGCUCAGGCACGAAAGCGUGGGGAGCAAACAGG